rnacentral:tRNA from 1 species
GCGGAGGUGGUGAAAAGGCAGACACGCAGCGUUUAGGGCGCUGUGAGCGUAAGCUCGUGGGAGUUCAAAUCUCCCCCUCCGCA